rnacentral:rRNA from 1 species
UACGUAGGGUGCGAGCGUUAAUCGGAAUUACUGGGCGUAAAGUGUGCGCAGGCGGCUCCGCAAGUCGAGUGUGAAAUCCCCGAGCUUAACUUGGGAAUUGCGCUCGAAACUGCAGAGCUUGAGUGCCGGAGAGGGUGGCGGAAUUCCCCAAGUAGAGGUGAAAUUCGUAGAUAUGGGGAGGAACACCGGUGGCGAAGGCGGCCACCUGGACGGUAACUGACGCUGAGACGCGAAAGCGUGGGGAGCAAACAGG